GAUAGAGAGAAAUGAGACACCAGCUCAUCACUGAUGGAGUACCAACGCUUUAGCAGUCAAAGGUAGAGGAAAAAAGUGUCCAGUUGUGGCACAGAAAAUGUUCUUGGAGGAUUUGCUGUUAAUUGACAAUGGGAAUAGGAAGGUCAGUCUCUGCCUGUUGCCUCUACUGCACAGAAAGAAAAUCAUACAUCUCACACAAUCAUACAUCUUACUGGGAGAGGCCAUAACCUCCAUUUUUAGGAGGACUCAGACCUACUGAAGAUGCCGUAAUACCUAAAAAUGAAAAAUUUUCUUUGAAGCCAUUCACUUCAUUCUUCUCUGCAAAGGCUUGAAAACAUUUAUUUGAAAUGACUUAGGAAAUGUUUUCUGCACACAAAUACUGGGUCUGAAAUAACUUCAGAGAUUUGCUGUAUUUCAUGGUGAUAUCACAAAAUCUUGACACUACUCUUGAACUCUUCACCUUUGAAUCUGACUUGAUGUAUUUCAUAUAUACCACUGGGAUUCAUGUCCUCUAGUUAAACUUCAGCAUACAAGAAAGGAGAAAUCCCCGACAUGUACAGACUGGAAAAAGAACUGAUGAAGAGCAGCCCCAUAGAGAAGGACUUGGGGAUUGUGAUGGAAGAAAAGUUGGACAUGAGCCAGCAGUGUGCUCUUGCAAUCCAGAAGGCUAACUGCAUCUUGGGUGACAUCAGAAGUGAGGUAUCCAACAAGCAGACUGAGGGAAUUUUCCCCUUCUUCUCUGUCCUUAUGAGGCCACAUCUGGAGUACUGCAUGUAGACUUGGGGCUCCAAGCAAAAGAAAAACGUAGAGCUGUUUCAGUGAGUUCGGAAGAGGACAUGAAGAUAAUCAGAGGGAUGGAGUACCUCUCUUAUGAAGAAAGGCUAGGGGACUAGCUCAGGGCUAGCUGAACUCUGCUCAGCCCAGAAAAGAAAAGUUUUGGGGGAAAGCUCUGUAAGACCUUCCAGUACGUAAAGGGAGCUUAUAAAAUACACAGAGACCAACUUUUUACACAGGCUGACAGUGAUGAGGGGGAAUAUUUCUAAACUAAAAGAAGAGAGAAUUAUGUUGGAUGUUAGGAGGACAUUCUUUAUUCAGGGAGUGGUGGAGCACUGGCACAGGCUGGCCAGAGAAGCCAUGGAUGCUCCAUCCCUCAAGGCUUUCAAGGACAGGUUAGAUGGGACCCUACGCAGCCUGAUCUAGAGGGUAGCAGCGUUGCCCACUGCAUGGGGGUUGGAACUGGAUCAUUUUAAGGUUCAUUUCAACCCCAACCAUUUUAUGAUUUUAUGAUAUGAUUAUAUGAUAAUUGCUAAUAAAAUAAAGGAAAAUGGAGAUAAAUAAAAACUAUAGAUCUUUACAUCUUAGAUGUACUACAUGAAUAAUUGCAUUUACUGGACAUCAUUUAAAAAGUUCAGUGUUUAUAAUUACCCAUAUUUCCAUCAUCUGUUCCACUGUACAAUUUCCUUUCUCAGACAUGAACUGAAUGUUUUGUUUGCGCUACAUCAUUUGCACAUUUGAUCAAGGAAUAUAAGGCUCUAUCAAAUCUCAAAGAGUUUUAGAUAAUACAGGAGUUUAUUUUUCUAGGUAUGAUUUGCAUUAUAACCAUCUGCAGUUCUUCCUAGUCUGGGAGAAUUUUAUUUGUGAGGAAAAGAAAGAAACACACUUAUCUUUAAUAUAUGAUCAUUAAAUAAAUAUCUUUAAUGCAGAAGAUUUGUUAUAUUAAGCAGUAUUAAAAAUUUAUCAGUCUCCUCCUUUAUUUUGAAAGGCUGUGUACAAGUGGGGAAGUAGAAUGAUACUAAUGUAGAAAGGUAUAAAUAGUAAUCAAAUGUUAUCACUCUUUACAAAUAAAAGCUUCAUUAUUUUAUUUGUUAC